AGAGCAGGAGGGCAGGGUGGGUAGGGAGCCAACUCCCCCUGUCUGUACUUGAGUCCCCAGUUUCCUCCCACAUCAUGUCUAUCUUCAUGAAGGAACAUUUUGUUUUAGGACUGGCAGGACUCUGAAUUCAUCCCAGACCCUGAUGCCAAGAAGCCGGAUGACUGGAAUGAGGCAAUGGAUGGGGUGUGGGAAGGGCCCCUGAUACCAAAUGUCAACAAGGGAGAAUGGAAGCCUCGGAUCAUUGACAAUCCCAAUUACCAGGGGGAGUGGAUUCACCCAGAGAUAGACAACCCCAAAUACAGGCCUGACCCCACCAUUUGUCACUACCAUAAUAUCAGCGUCCUUGGCCUGGAUCUUUGGCAGGUGAAAUCAGGCAGCAUCUUUGACAAUUUCCUUCUAACAAAUGAUGAAGAAUUUGCUGAAGAGGUUGGAAAUAUGACCUGGGGAUUAAGAAAGGAUGUGGAGCAGCAGUGGAGAGAGCUGUAUGAAGAAAUGGAGAAACAGAAGGAGGCGGAAGAGGCCAAGAAGAAAAGGGAAAAGCAGCGAGCCAAGCAAGAAGACAUCUGGGGACUAGAUGAGGAGGAUGAGGAGGAAAAUGAAGAGGACGCUGAGGAGGAAGCAGAGGAAAGGCCCAAGCAGGAAGGCAGCGGCGAGAGGGCAUCAGUGGAUCAAAAGGAAGCCCAUUUUGAGCAGAAGGAUGAACUGUAACUGCAGAGACAAUGGGUAUGGGAGAAGCAAGAGACGGUGCUUAGGAAGGGAAAUGGUCACAAGCUUAGCAAAUUAUGGGGAGUAAAACAACUGUCUUUAUAGAUAAACUUUGGAUUUAUAUUUCUACUCCCCUUCCCUGCUCUAUUUUGCUUAUUGGUAGAAAGGGAAUGAUAAUUUUAUCUCAGGAGGUGGCUGUAGAGACUGAAUGAGGUAAUGUGUGUAAAGUGCCCAAAGUAAAUACAUUAUAAAAAUGUAGUAGUUAAAACUACUGCCAUUAUCAUGGUGUUCAAUAAAUUAUUUGUCGGUAAUAAACUUCUAUAUAAACUUGGUUCUUUCAUUUG
rnacentral:lncRNA from 1 species